CCGGUGAGCAGAGCGAUGGCGAGCAGAGCAGCAGGUUAGCGCGAGCGCGGGCAACAUUUGAAGCAGCAGUCGAGCACAAGGAGCUACAGUGCAGCAGCGCGUGAAGGGGACAGCCUUCCGUAAUAGCUUGAAAUCAUUGGCAUGACUCACGUUCACCUUCCCGAGCUUCUUCAACUACGGUACGACGAGAACCAGAGGGGAAGAAUGGUUUUCGCAGGGCAACAGUUGCUCCCGUUGCGUUCCAGGAGUGUGCGCAAGCUUAAGGAGUUAGACCCUCGAUUCCACGAGCCCCUCGCACAGGCCGAACUACUACCGUUCGCUCUUAUGAUGGCAGGAGCUCCCAUGGAGGGUGGUGGCAGGACUCCACUACCGCCGAUCGAGGUCUCACUGCUCACAGGCCUCGUCGACCGCUGGCAUCCUGAGACGCACACGUUCCACUUUCCUUGCGGAGAGAUGACCGUUACUUUACGAGACGUGGCCAUGCUGACCGGGUUCCCCAUAAGGGGCACCCCGUUAGUACUUCCACUACCAGCAAAGGAGCAGUGGAAAAGUUAUAUUCAGGGCAGAUAAUUAUUUGUUACAUAAAGCAUUUCAUACGUUGCAGUGUUGUUCAUGGUUCAUUGAGUCUCUGCAUCUUGUAGGUUUAAUGUGCAAUAUGACAUGAAGGACGUAGGGCUCUCCAUGUCAUGGAUUUAUGGGCUACCACAGUUCAGCCCUUGCCCACCGGAUGCGGACGAGGCAAUAGUUAUGCAGCAUUACGAGGUGUAGUUGUACAUCUUGCUUGGAGGCAUUAUGUUCUGCAACACGGCAGGCGAUUAUGUACUUCUGCAUAUUGUAUGGUUAACGCGUCAGCUCGCGUCACGUCCAUACGAGUCGGCACAUUACAGUUGGGGAUCUGCUGUGUUGGCCGCUACAUACAAAAGAUUGUGUGUCACUACCCAACGGUCAACGAAGAUGGGAUCUAUUUCUAGCUUCCUACACCUUCUAUAGCUCUGGAGCUGGGAGUAUCUCCCAGUGUGUCGACCGUGGGUGAGCAAGACCUACUAUCCAGUUCCCAUCUCCGAUGGCGUGGCCGACGACAUGAGGCCAACGAUGGGCUAUCGGUAUCUUCAUGCCAGGCUGCGAUGAAGUCACCACCAAGACCAUGGAAACUACGCCCGGGUGAUUAGUUACCUUGACGCCCUCAGUGCCAAACUUGUGGAGUGGGAUCCAUGGCGUAGGGAACGAGUGGCUGAAAUUGCGACUAGAGGCCUAAUCGCAUCAUCUUGUUUCCGUGACUCCGACUUAUGGAUGACCAGAUGUUUUUUUCUUUACAUGAACAAUGUAGAAGUGUAUUCUCCUGACCGUGUAUAGAGGCAGUUUGGUCAUCAUCAGUUGGUGCCAGUACCUCC